rnacentral:rRNA from 1 species
GGGGAAUAUUGCGCAAUGGGGGGAACCCUGACGCAGCGACGCCGCGUGAGCGAAGAAGGCCUUCGGGUCGUAAAGCUCUGUUGUAAGGGACGAAGGAAAUGACGGUACCUUACGAGGAAGCCCCGGCUAACUACGUGCCAGCAGCCGCGGUAAGACGUAGGGGGCGAGCGUUGUCCGGAAUUACUGGGCGUAAAGAGCACGUAGGCGGGUAUUUAAGUCAGGUGUGAAAGACCGCAGCCCAACUGCGGGGUUGCACAUGAAACUGGAUAUCUUGAGGGCAGGAGAGGUCAGUAGAAUUCCUGGUGUAGCGGUGAAAUGCGUAGAAAUCAGGAGGAAUACCAGUGGCGAAGGCGGCUGACUGGACUGACCCUGACGCUGAGGUGCGAAAGCGUGGGUAGCAAAC